rnacentral:rRNA from 1 species
GAUGAACGCUGGCGGCGUGCCUAAUACAUGCAAGUCGAGCGAACAGAUGAGGAGCUUGCUCCUCUGACGUUAGCGGCGGACGGGUGAGUAACACGUGGAUAACCUACCUAUAAGACUGGGAUAACUUCGGGAAACCGGAGCUAAUACCGGAUAAUAUAUUGAACCGCAUGGUUCAAUAGUGAAAGACGGUUUUGCUGUCACUUAUAGAUGGAUCCGCGCCGCAUUAGCUAGUUGGUAAGGUAACGGCUUACCAAGGCAACGAUGCGUAGCCGACCUGAGAGGGUGAUCGGCCACACUGGAAAUGAGACACGGUCCAGACUCCUACGGGAGGCAGCAGUAGGGAAUCUUCCGCAAUGGGCGAAAGCCUGACGGAGCAACGCCGCGUGAGUGAUGAAGGUCUUCGGAUCGUAAAACUCUGUUAUUAGGGAAGAACAAAUGUGUAGUAACUAUGCACGUCUUGACGGUACCUAAUCAGAAAGCCACGGCUAACUACGUG